AAGUCGUAACAAGGUUUCCGUAGGUGAACCUGCGGAAGGAUCAUUAACACGUAUCCAACGUUAAACAACCCUGUGAACCUUGAACGUGCUCCUGCGGCCCCAUGAAAUCAGCAAUCCCUGGUAAAUCAUUGUUGACCAGCUUUUGAGUCAGGGAUCUCUGCCGAAACGGCUGUUCAGUACCGAGCGCAGUGUAAGCGACCUGGCAUCCCUAAGCGAUCAGUGUCUGAAAGUGUCAUUGAUUGUGUAAGGAUGGCGCAGUAAACGAUUGCUAGAGGCCCACACUUUCCCACUGGGCAGCCGAUAAUACGGACGCCGUAAAAAACUGAACAACUGUUAACAAUGGAUAUCUUGGUUCUC
rnacentral:misc_RNA from 1 species